UACAGAGGGGGCAAGCGUUGUUCGGAAUUACUGGGCGUAAAGGGCGCGUAGGCGGCCUUCUAAGUCGAACGUGAAAUCCCCGGGCUCAACCCGGGAACUGCGUCCGAUACUGGAAGGCUUGAAUCCGGGAGAGGGAUGCGGAAUUCCAGGUGUAGCGGUGAAAUGCGCAGAUAUCGGGAGGAACACCAAUGGCGAAGGCAGCUCGCUGGGACGGUACUGACGCUGAGACGCGAAAGCGUGGGGAGCAAACAGG
rnacentral:rRNA from 1 species